UGCCCACCAACUCCUAUCCCUACCUCCUCGUGGUACUGGCCGGGGUACGAGCAACCAUAGGGAAGAUCGAGUCAACCCCGGUGGAAACUUUGGUCGUAUGCUGACAGGGAAGG
rnacentral:ribozyme from 1 species